AUUGAACGCUAGCGGGAUGCUUUACACAUGCAAGUCGAACGAGUGGCGGACGGGUGAGUAAUAUAUCGGAACGUGCCCAGUAGCGGGGGAUAACUACUCGAAAGAGUGGCUAAUACCGCAUACUAUUGGAGCGGCCGAUAUCGGAUUAGCUUGUAGGUGAGGUAACGGCUCACCUAGGCGACGAUCCCUAGCUGGUCUGAGAGGAUGAUCAGCCACACUGGGACUGAGACACGGCCCAGACUCCUACGGGAGGCAGCAGUGGGGAAUAUUGCACAAUGGGCGCAAGCCUGAUGCAGCCAUGCCGCGUGUAUGAAGAAGGCCUUCGGGUUGUAAAGUACUUUCAGUCGGGAGGCGUUACCGACAGAAGAAGCACCGGCUAACUCCGUGCCAGCAGCCGCGGUAAUAC
rnacentral:rRNA from 1 species